UGGGGAAUAUUGCACAAUGGGGGAAACCCUGAUGCAGCGACGCCGCGUGAGCGAUGAAGGCUUUCGAGUCGUAAAGCUCUGUCCUAUGGGAAGAUAAUGACGGUACCAUAGAAGAAAGCCCCGGCUAAUUACGUGCCAGCAGCCGCGGUAAUACGUAAGGGGCGAGCGUUGUCCGGAAUUAUUGGGCGUAAAGAGUGCGUAGGCGGCAAAUUAAGUCAGAUGUGAAAACUAAGGGCUCAACCCAUAGAUUGCAUCUGAAACUGAUAUGCUUGAGUCAAGGAGAGGAAAGUAGAGUUCCUGGUGUAGCGGUGGAAUGCGUAGAUAUUGGGAAGAACACCAGUAGCGAAGGCGGCUUUCUGGACUGAAACUGACACUGAGGCACGAAAGAGUGGGUAGCAAACAGG
rnacentral:rRNA from 1 species